rnacentral:lncRNA from 1 species
UCACAAUGAUUCCCAACACUAUACCAGGGAUUCAGCCCUUACAUACAUUCAACACAUUUACUGGAGGACAGAAUAAUACACUGCCCCAUCCCCACCCACACCCCCAUUCACAUUCAACAACCAGGGUAUAGCCAGAUGAGAGAGACAAACUGAUUUUUUUUUCUGAUGGAGUGCAGUAAAAGAUUAUUGGAAGAUUCCUUGGCUUUCAACUCGGAAGACUCUCACUAUUUAAAUAAGGAGGAAUAUUAUGUGAAUAUACAUAUCAAGAACUUUGGGGGUUUUGAAAAAUGAAUUGUAUAUAGAUAUACACACAAAUCAACUUUAAAAAAAAAAGCAAAUUCCAAUUGCGUGAAGCAAUUGUUCUGAAUGAUACUUUUUCAUUCACUUUCAAGAAUUAAUUUGUUGAAGAUUUAAGUUACUUAACGGAGUUAGGCAUGUGGAACACCAAACAGGAAAGUACUGUGUCUGAAUACUUUAAAAACAAACAAAAAACAAAAACAAAAACAAAAAUAAAAUCAACUAUGAAUAUGCACAAGGGACACACCAAUGGAAUGUCAGAUAAUUUCGCCAGUUUUCAUUUGGAGCCCUUUAAUUGUGUAGACCAUAUUUGCUUAAGUACACAGGACACCUAUGCUGUUAAUGGCAUAGCAGAAGUUCAUGCUGAAAAUUGCCAGUAAAACAAAGAAGUUGCCAUAAGACUGGCAGGUACAACAUUAUCACAUAAGUGCUGUCAGUACUAAGUCGUGGGGAUCAAGGAGACUGGAUAUUUUUAGCACGAUGUGCAUGAUAAUUUAUAUGCUUGGUGGCUGUGCUGCUGGUUAAGCCGUAAUUAAAAUUCUUCUCAUCCCAUUGGAGUUUUUAAUAGGAGCUUCCUCCAUCAAUUGGCAGAAACUAAAGAAGAUAUUAUAAGGGGCAAAAGUAAUUACUAUAAAAUAAUUUGCAGUAGUUUUGAUAAUAGAGGGAAUAGUUAUUAAAGUCUUGGGAGAAACUAGAGGUAUAGUGGUGAAUACUCACUGAUAUGAAUCCCAGAAAAAAAAUUCUAUAAGUUUAAUAUUCUUUUCAUUCCCUUAUAUGUAAUUUAUAGAAAUACAACUCUAAUUGAACAUGUGUUAGCUGCAGAGCUAUAAUUUGCUGUGGGUUUGUUACUCUGAAGUUUGCUCCUUUCGUUAACAGUCUUGCAAGGUGUAAGGAUGCCCCAACAGUACCAUUCUGAUUACAGUUCUCAGUCGAUUGAUUUACUCAUGUUGCAUGACAAAAUGUUUACUACUAAGAAUUCAAUAGAAAGCAUAGUCCCUCUUCACAUUGCAUCUUUCUCGCUGAGGGUCUCUUGAAUUUACUCAUGAGAUCUCAGUAGAGGAACAAUGUAGGUGCAGAACCUAGGAGAGUCAACAGCUGGAGGGUUUGUCUUUCACAUAUGUGCAAUUUCAAAUGAAUUCUCGAAGACCACAGGAAUCUCUGAAUCCCCUGUUGUUUACCAGUAAUAUCAGUAUAUCACAGACCUUUCCAAAUGUUUGUAUAUGUAAUCAGAUGUACAUUUAUAUUAAAAAAAAAAACAAUGAGAUGGACCUCAAGAGCACAUGCUGAUCAAUGGUUUCUCUCUUAUCUGUACUAUAUUUCUAUUAGACUAAAGUUAUGUGAUUUUUUUUUACCUUUUUUCAGAUGACUAGCAAUUUUGAUAGUUUGUAAGAUAAUGCAAAGGACUUUCUCUGACUAACUGCUGUAACAGAAACCUUUCUUUCCAGCUACCCUUUUUCAAGAAUCGAAAGCUUAUUAUACAAAAGCAAACACUUGUAUACUACUCGGUGGGAAGGAUGCUGUGUAUCACGACCACAUCCGUGGUCCUUGGGUGAAAUAAAGAUAAUAUGGAGAAUGGCGAUUAGUCAAAUGCUAAGAGACAUGAUCUUUGCUCAUUAAAGAGCUAAAACG